CACGAACGCUGGCGGCGUGGAUAAGACAUGCAAGUCGAACGGGACAAGUAGCAAUAUUUGUCUAGUGGUGAACGGGUGCGUAACACGUGGGCAACAUGCCUGGAAGAGCGGGAUAGCCCGGGGAAACUCGGAUUAAUACCGCAUGUGACAACGGGGCGGAUUCGCCCUGUUUUCAAAGGUGGGGACCGCAAGGCCUGCCGCUUCCAGAUUGGCCCGCGUCCUAUCAGCGAGUUGGCGGGGUAACGGCCCACCAAGGCGACGACGGGUAGCUGGUCUGAGAGGACGACCAGCCACACUGGAACUGAGACACGGUCCAGACACCUACGGGUGGCAGCAGUCGAGAAUCUUUCACAAUGGGGGAAACCCUGAUGGAGCGACGCCGCGUGGAGGAUGACGGUCUUCGGAUUGUAAACUCCUGUCAUGAAAGAACAAGCGGAGCGGGUGAACAGCCCGCCGAGUUGAUAGUAUUUCAAGAGGAAGGGACGGCUAACUUCGUGCCAGCAGCCGCCGUAAAAC
rnacentral:rRNA from 1 species